rnacentral:lncRNA from 1 species
UGUUCUAUUUAUUUUUGUGUUUGCUUGAGUUUUCUUUGCAAUCUUGUUUCCUAUCAGGGAUAGUUCAACCAGUCAGUGAAGGAUCUGGAACGAGAAUCACAAUAUGGCCUCAGGUCCCUUUGGAUCGUGCGGACGACAUCUUUGCCUUUAGGCUUGAUUCUCCCUCACUCGUGGUUGCAGCGAUACGAUUCUGACUUUUGUCUCUAAUGUGGUUCCUUUUUUGUUUCGCCAAAGUGAUUUUGCUGCCUCAUUUUGACUGUACUUGGGAAGCUCCUUGUUCUCCCCUUUCUCCUGUGAUCUACAUGUUGUGCGGAUGGUGUU